CCUACGGGUGGCAGCAGUAGGGAAUAUUGCUCAAUGGGGGAAACCCUGAAGCAGCAACGCCGCGUGGAGGCUGAAGGUUUUCGGAUUGUAAACUCCUUUUGUUAGAGAAGAUAAUGACGGUAUCUAACGAAUAAGCACCUGCUAACUCCGUGCCAGCAGCCGCGGUAAUACGGAGGGUGCAAGCGUUACUCGGAAUCACUGGGCGGAAAGGGCGCGUAUGCGGGAUAGCAAGUCAGAUGUGAAAUCCUAGGGCUCAACCAUAGAACUGCAUUUGAAACUGGAAUGCUAGAGUAUGGGAGCGGUAGGUGGAAUGUGUGGUGGAGGGGUAAAA
rnacentral:rRNA from 1 species